CUCAGGAUGAACGCUGGCGGCGUGCUUAACACAUGCAAGUCGAGCGAUGAAGUUUCCUUCGGGAAACGGAUUAGCGGCGGACGGGUGAGUAACACGUGGGUAACCUGCCUCAUAGAGUGGAAUAGCCUUCCGAAAGGAAGAUUAAUACCGCAUAACGUUGAAAGAUGGCAUCAUCAUUCAACCAAAGGAGCAAUCCGCUAUGAGAUGGACCCGCGGCGCAUUAGCUAGUUGGUGGGGUAACGGCCUACCAAGGCGACGAUGCGUAGCCGACCUGAGAGGGUGAUCGGCCACAUUGGGACUGAGACACGGCCCACACUCCUACGGGAGGCAGCAGUGGGGAAUAUUGCACAAUGGGGGAAACCCUGAUGCAGCAACGCCGCGUGAGUGAUGAAGGUUUUCGGAUCGUAAAGCUCUGUCUUUGGGGAAGAUAAUGACGGUACCCAAGGAGGAAGCCACGGCUAACUACGUGCCAGCAGCCGCGGUAAUACGUAGGUGGCGAGCGUUAUCCGGAUUUACUGGGCGUAAAGGGAGCGUAGGCGGAUGAUUAAGUGGGAUGUGAAAUACCCGGGCUCAACUUGGGUGCUGCAUUCCAGACUGGUUAUCUAGAGGGCAGGAGAGGAGAGUGGAAUUUCCUAGUGUACCGGUCGAAAUGCGUAGAGAUUAAGAAGAACACCAGUGGCGAAGGCGACUCUCUGGACUGUAACUGACGCUGAGGCUCGAAAGCGUGGGGGAGCAAACAGGAUUAGAUACCCUGGUAGUCCACGCCGUAAACGAUGAAUACUAGGUGUGGGGGUUUCAACACCUCCGUGCCGCCGCUAACGCAUUAAGUAUUCCGCCUGGGGAGUACGGUCGCAAGAUUAAAACUCAAAGGAAUUGACGGGGACCCGCACAAGUAGCGGAGCAUGUGGUUUAAUUCGAAGCAACGCGAAGAACCUUACCUACACUUGACAUCCCUUGCAUUACUCUUAAUCGAGGAAAUCCCUUCGGGGACAAGGUGACAGGUGGUGCAUGGUUGUCGUCAGCUCGUGUCGUGAGAUGUUGGGUUAAGUCCCGCAACGAGCGCAACCCUUGUCGUUAGUUACUACCAUUAAGUUGAGGACUCUAGCGAGACUGCCUGGGUUAACCAGGAGGAAGGUGGGGAUGACGUCAAACCAUCAUGCCCCUUAUGUGUAGGGCUACACACGUGCUACAAUGGCUGGUACAGAGAGAUGCAAUACCGCGAGGUGGAGCCAAACUUUAAAACCAGUCUCAGUUCGGAUUGUAGGCUGAAACUCGCCUACAUGAAGCUGGAGUUACUAGUAAUCGCGAAUCAGAAUGUCGCGGUGAAUACGUUCCCGGGUCUUGUACACACCGCCCGUCACACCAUGAGAGUUGGCAAUACCCGAAGUCCGUGAGCUAACCGCAAGGAGGCAGCGGCCGAAGGUAGGGUCAGC
rnacentral:rRNA from 1 species